AUUGCACGCUGGCGGCAGGCCUAACACAUGCAAGUCGAACGAGUGGCGGACGGGUGAGUAAUGUCUGGGAAACUGCCCGAUGGAGGGGGAUAACUACUGGAAACGGUCGCUAAUACCGCAUACCAUCGGAUGUGCCCAGAUGGGUUUAGCUAGUAGGUGGGGAAACGGCUCACCUAGUCGACGAUCCCUAGCUGGUCUGAACGGAUGACCAGACACACUGGAACUGAGCCACGUUCCCGACGCCUACGGGAGGCAGCAGUGGGGAAUAUUGCACAUUGGGCGCAAGCCUGAGGCAGCCAUGCGGCGGGUAUGAAGAAGGCCUUCGGGUUGUAAAGUACUUUCAGCGAGGAGGCGUUACUCGCAGAAGAAGCACCGGCUAACUCCGUGCCAGCAGCCGCGGUAAUAC
rnacentral:rRNA from 1 species